rnacentral:lncRNA from 1 species
CAGGUUGGAGGUAUGAAGUCCAGGACAUGCUGGGGACCCUCAUACCCUCCAGCUCCCUGCUUGGCCAUUCCCAGGGGCCUUCCUCCUCCUGGAGGCAGCACCUGUGUUUCAGGAACAGUCCCAGGAAGAGAGACAAAGGACAGCAGAUGCGUGUCAGCGUCUCUGCCAGGGGGUUUCCAGAAUGGCCUCCAGACAGGCGGAGCAGCCUGGCCCUGGAGCACCGUGGGCAAAGGCCUGGGAGUCAGGCCACACAGAGGGGCAGAGCUGGAGACCGGAGGCCACACCCUAAAGAGCUCCCCAGGCCCUGCAUCCCACUGCAUCCAGACUAGCCUGGCUCUGGCUGAUUGGUGUUUCUGUCAACUGUACAGACGUCAGGCUGUUUGUGAGGCUGUUUGUGUCACCACCUAGGCCAGCCGGGGAGUACCCUGUUUUACAACAGCUGCCCGGCUGGGAGCGGUGUUCUCCAUGUGUGAGCAACAAUACCUGCAACCACCCACAGCUGCAGCGCUCUAAUGGUGAACUUGAGGAAAACUCACACCCCUGGGCCCCGAAGGCCAAGUCAGAACUCCUGGUGGCCAGGACCAGGACUCUGCAUUUUGAUGCAGGGGAUCCUCAUGGCAUCCACUUUGAGAACCAAAGUUGAACUAUGUGCCCUAGGAUCCAACCCAGAGCCUGCUAUCAACUUGGACUUUUCAGUGACUGUCACGCAGAGCUCUUCCUGUGUGUGUUUGUGGUGGGGGUGCCUGGGUCUGUGCUGAGGAGAUGCCCUUCAUCUCCUCUCCACCAGUGUCUCCCCUUUCUAGAAAGCACGAGGCUGGGCGGCCAUUGCCUUAGCUGAGGCCACACUGCUGGUGAGUUGGAAUCCAGUUCUGACGGGUGCCUCGGCCCCUGCUAGGAAACCCCGUGUCAUACCUUGCUGGCAUGUGGACUGUCACUCACACUAGACAAAGGGUCUCUAGCCUUCCUCAGGCUCCCCAGUGCCCCAUGCUGGAGUCUGUCCUUGUCACUGUGCCAUGACACAGGGACCACGUCGUCCCAUCCCUGCCUCCUCUGUCUGCCUUGCAAGGUCUCCCUGCUCCCACUCCCUCCUUCCUCAGGCCUCUCCCCGUCACAGUGCUCAGGGUGCUUUUCAUAAAUCUCAUCUCUUUAUUGAGACGCUUCUAACGACCUUUCUGUCCUCCCCACCAGGGUAGGAAUAAAACAAUUUUAUUUGAACCCCAAAUCUCACCGUCCUUUGGUGGCUUCCCCUUGCUCCUGGGAUGGAAUUCCCACAGCAGCGUGGAGGCCUGUCCUUGCUGCCCCUCAGGCCUGCUGGGUUCCUUGCUAGCCUGCUCAGUCCCUUGCCUUGCCUUCCAAGGCCUGUGCAGAGUCACUCCUACAGAAAGAGUCCCUGGGGGACUGGGGCUCAGCGGUAGAGUGCUCACCUAGCACAUUCGAGGCCCUGGGUUCGAUCCUCAGCACCACAUAUAAAUGAAUUAAUUAAAUAAAAAUAUUGUGUCCAACUACAACUAAAAAAUAAAUAUUAAAAAAAAAUAGUUCCUGAAUCAAGAAACGCGCUGACCAGGUGUCUGCUUUUUGCAACCCCC